rnacentral:rRNA from 1 species
GACGAACGCUGGCGGCGUGCUUAACACAUGCAAGUCGAACGGAAAGGCCCCUUUGGGGGUACUCGAGUGGCGAACGGGUGAGUAACACGUGAGUAACCUGCCCUUGGCUUCGGGAUAACUUCAGGAAACUGGGGCUAAUACCGGAUAGGAAUCCUUGCUGCAUGGUGGGGGUUGGAAAGCUUCGGCGGUUUUGGAUGGACUCGCGGCUUAUCAGCUUGUUGGUGGGGUAGUGGCUUACCAAGGCUUUGACGGGUAGCCGGCCUGAGAGGGCGACCGGCCACAUUGGGACUGAGAUGCGGCCCAGACGCCUACGGGAGGCAGCAGUGGGGAAGAUUGCACAAUGGGCGGCAGCCUGAUGCAGCAACGCCGCGUGCGGGAUGACGGCCUUCGGGUUGUAAACCGCUUUCAGCAGGGGCGAAGCUUGUGGUGACGGUACCUGCAGAAGAAGCACCGGCUAACUACGUG